ensembl:lncRNA
GGUGCAGCAGGAUGGAGGGGCGGGGCCUGACGGUAGCCCUCCUGAGAAGUCUCUGGCCGUCGAGGCAAGGAAAAGAGGUCAUCAGAGUUGUAACUGCGGUGGAAGCAUGGCUGGAUGCUGCAGGCAGCCUAGCAAGGGCCUGGUCUGCUGCUGCUGCUAAGUCGCUUCAGUCUGUCCAGCUCUGCAACCCAGUACACAGCAGCCCACCAGACUCCUCUGUCCCUGGGAUUCUCCAGGCAAGAAUAGUGGAGUGGGUUGCCAUUUCCUCUUCCAAUGCAUGUAUGCAUGCCAAGUCGCUUCAGACGUGCUUGACUCUGUACAACCCCAUAGAUGGCAGCCCACCAGGCUCCUCGGUCCACAGGAUUUUCUAGGUACCAGAGGUACAGAGCACUUGACCAUGGAAUGAAAUGUGAUUCUGUGUCCAGACUACAAAUUAUUACCUAAAUUCUGUCAUAUCAACUAAGUCAUAUGGCCCAUCACAGUUCAUUGUAAGAUGGAAAUUCUACCUUUUGGACCAGGUACAAGCAGGGCCAGAAGACACAAGUAAUCACCAUAAACCAGUUUCCCACUUGCCCCUGUCACCUAUCACUUUUUUUACCAUCACUUCUCCAAGUCACAUCUGUUGUCUCAGGAUGGUUUAUUGUGACCAGCUGAAGGAAAAGAAAACAAGUCAAACGACUUCUGAAUACAUAUAUCAGUACAACCUUGAAAUGGACUACCUCUGUACUAUAGCACCACUCUAUUAGGAUCAAGACUGACCCUGAUAGAUAAUAAUAAAUGGAAAUACACCUGGCAUUUGGAACAUUUGACUACAGCAAGUGCACCCAAUAGUUAUAGCUUCAAGUGGUAUUCCUGGUCAUACAUUUUGUGUUAAAAAAGUGCCGUGAGG